rnacentral:misc_RNA from 1 species
ACCAUGCUGCAACAUAAGCAAAGGAAGCUGUAAAGAGGACUCCUUAUCCUCUAGAUCAAUCUUAAUGCCAUAUUUAAGCCCACUAAGAUACCUAUUACCUAGUGAUGCUCUGUUGAAGUUCCUACUCAAAAUUACAUGGAGCAACUAGUUUAUGAAACUCCAUGGUGUGAGAACACUCAACUUGGGAGUACAAUUCUCUUUCAUAGUGAACAUGAAUGAAUUUUUGCUCCAUUGACGUCAAAGCAACACCUAAUUAGUGAUUGAAAAUUGUCAGUGAACUUGGUGUUGUUGUGCAAGACUGUGCCGCCAUGUUUAAGCAUAACCCUUCAAACAAAUAACUGAGAUAAUCACUCUUCUUCAUAGUAUGAUAUUCUCCAAUUAUGCAAAUUUCUGGGUCACCCUCACCAUUAAAUUUUGGCAGAUUAAUUCUUAAUCCCAUCAUCAGGUCUAAAGGAUAAAUUGUAGCUUAAGCGUGCAGUGGUGGGAAGUGCAUGAGUAGAAAGUAUUGUUGGAGAUGCAGUUGGAAUAGCUAAUGUAAUAGAGCUAGAGGCAUUAUCGACAUUAAUAUAUUUUUUUUCUACCAAUGAGUUUUGAUACUGAAGUUGUCUUCAGAGUUAUGAGGUAUUGAGUUUGAAUCACAAUUUGAGCCAAAUUAAAAAAAAAAAGCUUGUUAUCCACACCUAAGUGAGUUAAAAUCAAGGAUAUAGAUUCCAUGAUAUUGCCAAUUUCAUAAUCAAAUCUUUGCUGAAAAGUAUCAAGUGUUUGAUCAACUUUAACAAUUAAACUGCAUUGAUUUUUUUUUUCUUUUAAAUCCCAACAAUAACAUGAUAAGGCAGCACAAAAAGUUGUAAACAGAGAGUCCAUUUGAUAUUCUACUAUUCUUUUUCUUUGGCGUCACAAUUUCUUCUUUUGCUUCAUGUCCCUUCUUUUACUUCUCUAGAAUCUCUACUGUUAUGUUUGGUGUUUGUUUAUCGAAGGUCGUGCUGGAGUAUAUGUUUCAGAAUUUGUUUAAACUGAAUGUUUGCAGUCAGUCAGUUUAAGGGAGGGAUUGUUGGUGAAUAAGUCAAAGGAGCGGUUUGUGUUUGAGUUUGUUUUUGUCCUAGUUUAUGGGAGUGGUUAUUUUGUUGGAGUCACUUUAGGAGUCUGUUGAAGUCAUUAGAUGUGUGCCUACUAUUUUGUUUUCUGUUGAUGUAAUUGCCUAUAAGAGGGACUUGUAGUUUAUCUUUUGUUUUUUUCCUUUCUCUUUUGUCUUUACUUUCUGCCCUAUGUCAUUUCAAUCUUUAACAAGGAUGCGUCAACCAUAUCCUCUCUGAUAAAUUUUUUCCACUUUUUAUUUUCUUCUUCAAUUGCCACAUGAGCAUCCCACUUAGUAGUUUGGACAGAAUGUAACCGAAGGUUUACAUUGAAUCACUAAUAAAAGCUUGUAUACUUGAUGGCCAAAAAUGAGAGAAAAUGAAUAGAAAAAAAGAAUUAUUUUACAUGAAAGAGAACCAAAAUUGAAAAGGUAGAUAAUGUACACAUAUAUAUAGCUGCAUGUGUAUAUAUUGGUAGUCAGAUUGUAAUAUCAUUAUGUUAUCAAAGACUUCAGGGUUAAUUAAAGAAGUUUUGUGAUAAUUACAGGUUGCUGGUUCUGACAGGUCCUCCAUAAUUCUCCCACUGUCUGGGCUGAAGCAGUUUCAUGAAAUAGUGGGGCAUUUUGUGGAGAUAACAAAAGAUAGAAUUGAAGGAAUGACAGGUGCAAAUGUUCGGACUGUGGAUCCCCCACAGAGAUGAAUGUGAAUAACUCCUGGAGGCUAAUGUAUGUUGAUGAAACGUGUUAUUCAUAUUUGGU